rnacentral:lncRNA from 1 species
UGGAAUCAGACACUUGGAUUAAUGUUCAGACUCUUGUUCUAAAAUCAACAUCUGGAUUCCUCUUCUCUGUGCACACAUGUGUAUUUUUCACUUGCUAAUCUGUCAGGAACUUGGGCGCUGGCGAGCAGCUUUAAUAAUCUGAACAUAGUUUAGAGAUGGACUGCAACAUGUGCUCAAAGGCUGCAUGUGCUGAAGAACGAUGGCGAAGCUAAGUGUGAUCACUGUAAUAAAUGAAUGUUGCAGCAGGGUGUCUCCAUCAACAUGAGCAGUAUCUGCGCUCGCUUCACCAACAGCAGAGGAAAAGAACGCACUGUGUUACAUUCAUUGUGCAUCCCGGCACAACCAACAAGUGUUGUGUGUUUUAGCUCAAGAGUUUGGAGCGUGUAGCUGAACAACUCAGUGCUAGCUUUAGCUUAUUAGCUGAGGGGGAAACUAAACAGCUCAUUCUCUCCAUCUGUGUGUGUUUACAGUCUGGAUCAUGGAGGACACACGCGGAUUACAGCAGGGCCAAGCAAAUAUGUCUGUUUCCUCACUCUGGAUCCAAACACAGCACACACUGAACUCAAACUGUCUGAGGAGAACAGAGAGGUGAAGAGUGUGAGAGAGAAUCAGCCGUAUCCUGAUCAUCCAGA